rnacentral:rRNA from 1 species
AGAGCGAACGCUGGCGGCAGGCCUAACACAUGCAAGUCGAGCGCCGUAGCAAUACGGAGCGGCAGACGGGAGAGUAACACGUGGGAACGUACCCUUCAGUUCGGAACAACCCAGGGAAACUUGGGCUAAUACCGAAUACGUCCGUAAGGAGAAAGAUUUAUCGCUGAAGGAUCGGCCCGCGUCUGAUUAGCUUGUUGGUGAGGUAAUGGCUCACCAAGGCUACGAUCAGUAGCUGGUCUGAGAGGAUGAUCAGCCUCACUGGGACUGAGACACGGCCCAGACUCCUACGGGAGGCAGCAGUGGGGAAUAUUGGACAAUGGGCGCAAGCCUGAUCCAGCCAUGCCGCGUGGGUGAUGAAGGCCCUAGGGUUGUAAAGCCCUUUCGGCGGGAAGAUAAUGACGGUACCGCAGAAGAAGCCCGGCUAACUUCGUGCCAGCAGCCGC